GCAUCGAUGAAGAACGCAGCGAAAUGCGAUAAGUAGUGUGAAUUGGCAGAAUUCAGUGAAUCAUCGAAUCUUUGAACGCACAUUGCGCCCCUNGGUAUUCCGGGGGGCAUGCCUGUUCGAGCGUCAUCUACACCCUCAAGCUCUGCUUGGUGUUGGGCGUCUGUCCCGCCUCAGCGCGCGGACUCGCCCCAAAUCCAUUGGCAGCGGUCCUUGCCUCCUCUCGCGCAGCACAUUGCGCUUCUCGAGGGGCUCCGGCCCGCGUCCAACAAGAAAACAUUACCGUCUUUGACCUCGGAUCAGGUAGGGAUACCCGCUGAACUUAAGCAUAUCAAUAAGCGGAGGA
rnacentral:rRNA from 1 species